rnacentral:rRNA from 1 species
CCUACGGGCGGCAGCAGUGGGGAAUAUUGCACAAUGGAGGAAACCCUGAUGCAGCGACGCCGCGUGAGUGAAGAAGGAAUUCGUUACGUAAAGCUCUAUCAACAGGGAAGAAAAUGACGGUACCUGAGUAAGAAGCCCCGGCUAACUACGGGCCAGCAGCCGCGUAAAUACGUAGGGGGCAAGGGUUAUCCGGAUUUACUGGGUGAAAAGGGAGCGUAGGCGGAUUAUCAAGUCAGCGGAAAAAAUUCGGGGUCAAACCGCGUCGUGCCGUUGAAACUGAUGUUCUUGAGUGGGCGCGAAGUAUGCGGAAUGCGUGGUGUAGCGGUGAAAUGCAUAGAUAUCACGAAGAACUCCGAUUGCGAAGGCAGCAUACCGGCGCCAAACUGACGCUGAAGCACGAAAGCGUGGGUAUCGAACAGGAUUAGAUACCCGGGUAGUC